GUCCCUAUAGUUUAGAGGAUAGAGCGACACUCUCCUAAAGUGUAGACGCAGGUUCGAUUCCUGCUGGGGACAC
rnacentral:tRNA from 3 species